GCUAAGGUGGCAGAGCCCGGUAAUUGCGAGAGGCCUAAGCCCUCUUUCUCAGAGGUUCAAGUCCUCUCCUUAGCU
rnacentral:tRNA from 3 species